UCGGGAAUAUUGCGCAAUGGAGGCAACUCUGACGCAGUGACGCCGCGGAUAGGAAGAAGGUUUUCGGAUUGUAAACUAUUGUCCACAGGGAAGAAAAGGACUGUACCUGUGAAGAAAGCACCGGCGAACUACGUGCCAGCAGACGCGGUAAUACGUAGGGAGCAAGCGUUAUCCGGAUUUCUUGGGUGUAAAGGGUGCGUAGACGGGAUAACAAGUUAGUUGUGAAAACCCUCGGCUCAACUGAGGAACUGCAACUAAAACUAUUAUUCUUGAGUGCAGGAGGGGAAAGUGGAAUUCCUAGUGUAGCGGUGAAAUGCGUAGAUAUUAGGAAGAACACCAGUGGCGAAGGCGACUUUCUGGACUGUAACUGACGUUGAGGCACGAAAGUGUGGGGAGCAAACAGG
rnacentral:rRNA from 1 species